AUUGAACGCUGGCGGCAGGCCUAAUACAUGCAAGUCGAACGAGUGGCGGACGGGUGAAUAAUGUCUGGGAACCUGCCCGAUGGCGGGGGAUACCUACUGGAAACGGUAGCUAAUCCCGCAUACCAUCGGAUGUGCCCAGAUGGGAUUAGCUAGUAGGUGGGGAAACGGCUCACCUAGGCGACGAUCCCUAGCUGGUCUGAGAGGAUGACCAGCCACACUGGAACUGAUACACGGUCCAGACUCCUACGGGAGGCAGCAGUGGGGAAUAUUGCACAAUGGGCGCAAGCCUGAUGCAGCCAUGCCGCGUGUAUGAAGAAGGCCUUCGGGUUGUAAAGUACUUUCAGCGAGGAGGCGUUACUCGCAGAAGAAGCACCGGCUAACUCCGUGCCAGCAGCCGCGGUAAUUC
rnacentral:rRNA from 1 species